rnacentral:rRNA from 1 species
UGGGGAAUCUUGGACAAUGGGGGCAACCCUGAUCCAGCCAUGCCGCGUGAGUGAUGAAGGCCUUAGGGUCGUAAAGCUCUUUCGCCUGUGAAGAUAAUGACGGUAGCCGGAGAAGAAGCCCCGGCUAACUCCGUGCCAGCAGCCGCGGUAAUACGGAGGGGGCUAGCGUUGUUCGGAAUUACUGGGCGUAAAGCGCGCGUAGGCGGACUGAUCAGUCAGGGGUGAAAUCCCGGGGCUCAACCCCGGAACUGCCUUUGAUACUGUCAGUCUUGAGUCCGGAAGAGGCGAGUGGAAUACCGAGUGUAGAGGUGAAAUUCGUAGAUAUUAGGUGGAACACCAGUGGCGAAGGCGCCUAACUGGUCCGGUACUGACGCUGAGGAACGAAAAGCGUGGGGAGCAAACAGGAUUAGAUACCCUGGUAGUCCACGCCGUAAACGAUGAGUGCUAGAUGUUGGGAUUUUCGGAUUUCAGUGUCGCAGCUAACGCAUUAAGCACUCCGCCUGGGAGUACGGCCGCAAGGUUAAAACUC